UAUUUCACAUGGGCAUUGUGUGCAAGACCAGAAAAGGGUGUGGUUUUUUUUUUAUCAAAACGCCACAUCACUCUCUCUAUAAAUACUGAAAGAAAACAACUUGGCUGCAGAAACAGCUAAAUUACAAGACCAGUCUCAACAGUGCUGAUCCCUCUCUACACGCCUCAGAAUGUCUGACAAAGAAGAAUGUAAGAAGGUAAGACAUUCACCCUCAACUUACUUCAUAUAAAGAGAAACUUUAAAAAGUGGCUGUGUUAGAUGCACUAACAUGUAUAUUAAAUAAUCCUCUGUUCAUUUUUCUUUCUGUCAGGACAAAUGUUCUUCAAAAUCAAAAUCCGGAUCUGACUCUGACAGCUCUGAUGGUGAAAAAGGAAAGGGCCAUAAAAAACAUGGACAGAAGGGGAAAGGACAUUGUGGAAAAGGGGGAGAACAUGGGAAAGGAGAACAUGGGAAAGGAGAACAUGGAAAAAAGGGAGAACACGGAAAAGGAGGUUGUGGAGGAAAGGGAGAAAAACAUUGACAGCGACAUGUUGGAUCUCUGAGAAAAACUAUACGUCUUUACAAUCUUAAUCUAUUAUCAUUGAAAAGACACAAAAAAACAAUCCCAAUUGUUA